rnacentral:lncRNA from 1 species
CUGUAAUCUCAGGACCAUCAGCAUCACCUAGGAACUUGUCAGAAGUGCCAACGCCCAGGCUCAACCCCAGACCUAUGGAAUCAAAAUUGACGCCACACUGAAUCUGGAGUUGAAGGGGUGCGCCUGCGCAAGGCUCCGCUAUUUGCUCUCUGUCAGCGACUUCACAGGUGGCCUUGGCCCCUAAAAGCCAGUCAUCAAAAGAUCAUGAUCAAAGAGAACCCUUCACACAGUGUGGACCACCUGCCUAGAAAACGCCUCUGUCAGCAUCCUCCCCCUUCCAUUUCCAAUGUCCAGAGUUUCACAUAAUUUCUGUUCUUCUCUCUGAUGCAAGCUCCAGGCAGCCGUCUGUGUUAUUAGAUUUAAGUAUCCAGGUCAACAGCAUCCAUCGCCAGCCCACCGCUCAGCUGGGAGGGCUGUAGCCGAGGCUUCUCGACGCUCGCUGUUUUCAUUUCAGCUUGUGUCUUCCUCCUUCACACAGCAGAGGCGUUCAGCAUCCGGAGGGAGAGGCAGCUGAGAGCAUGAAGCAGGGUUAUCAUGAAACCAAAGCCUAAAUGUGCGCGCUCACCAGGCCUGGCACGGACUCAUCCCCUCCUGGGCCACUGUGUGCCCGGACAGGACGACGCCUGCUU